GUACAGCCAUCGCAGCCUACCCAUCCUUCGAAGGACACACACCACAGGUCGGGCGCCCCCUGCUGUUCGGUUGCAGAAAGCUGUGUAACCCCACCCAUCCCCAUAGGUUUCAAUGGCAAAAUGGACAACUUUCAAUCAUGUUUUUUUCUAAUAUACUGUAAUACUACCUCCACUAUUUAAAUGCAACAGAUAGUGUAACGUCUGCUUAUAAUGUUAUUUUUUUUUAUUCCCACAGAACUUGUUUUUUUUACGUUAUUCAGCUCAAUUAAAAGGAACAAACUAACGAACUAAUUAAAUAAAUAAAUAAAACGGAUUUCAUAGGUCUCUUCACAAUCUGGCAAGCAUCAAGUUUAAUUCCUGAGAUGCCUUGUGUUACUAAGCAACCGUUUGGUUUAAAAUGUUUAGAUAUGAAUGUUUGAAGCUCAGAUUGGACUGAGAGGUUCAAGGCUAAACAACAAGCGACUUUGAUCUGCGAUUUAUCCUCAAUUUAUUUUACACAUUUUUACUCAUUUUCACUCAUUUUUACUCAUUUUCACUCAUUUUUACUCAUUCUCACUACAUUUCACUCAUUUUACACAUUCUUACACAUUUUUAAAACAUUUCUCACUACAUUUCACACAAUUUUCUCACAUUUUUACAAUUUUUGUUACACAUUUCUUACUCAUUCUCACACAUUUCUUCACUCAUUUCUAUCAGGGCUUUUCUCACCAUGUCUUUUUCCAGUUUUUUUUUUUUCAGGGCUGGAGCUGCUGGACUACCUGGACUGGCUGGAGGAGCACCACCCCUAUUUCCCCAGACCAACCGGUUGUGUCGUUUUUCACGGGCCCGGAUGGGCUCCAACAGUGGCUUUUGUGUUCCUCUGCCCAUCCUUUCCCCUGCAUGGACCGGAUGGAAUUCCUCAGCGCCUCUACUUCCCAGCUACCUGCCUGGUCUACCCCUCUUUCUUUCCCAUCGAGUGGGGGGACAGGUUCGAGUACUGGGAGUGGCGUCUGCGCAGCCAUGCUGCACACCUGUGCUUCAUGGAACUGACCUGGAGACUCUACCAGAAGACCAGGUUUGCCACAUCUGCCUGCAGACAGCUGGAUCCUCCAUCAGACAAGGACAAUGAACACAUAGGCCCCUGCAUUGCGCUCACAGAAGAGGACUGGGAACCACUAGCAAGAAACUUCGCGUCUGAUUCAGCAGUAUCCUUUAGUAUCCUUUAUUUAUUCUCUGUAUAUAUCUCUCUAUAUAUAUAUAUAU
rnacentral:lncRNA from 1 species